rnacentral:rRNA from 1 species
CAGGCUUAACACAUGCAAGUCGAGGGGCAGCAUGGUCUUAGUUUGCUAAUGCCGAUGGAGACCGGCGCACGGGUGAGUAACACGUAUCCAACCUGCCGUCUACUCUUGGACAGCCUUCUGAAAGGAAGAUUAAUACAAGAUGGCAUCAUGAGUCCGCAUGUUCACAUGAUUAAAGGUAUUCCGGUAAACGAUGGGGAUGCGUUCCAUUAGAUAGUAGGCGGGGUAACGGCCCACCUACUCUUCCAUGGAUAGGGGUUCUGAGAGGAAGGUCCCCCACAUUGGAACUGAGACACGGUACCAAACUCCUACGGGAGGCAGCAGUGAGGAAUAUUGGUCAAUGGGCGAGAGCCUGAACCAGCCAAGUAGCGUGAAGGAUGACUGCUCUAUGGGUUGUAAACUUCUUUUAUAAAGGAAUAAAGUCGGGUAUGGAUACCCGUUUGCAUGUACUUUAUGAAUAAGGAUCGGCUAACUCCGUGCCAGCAGCCGCGGUAAUACGGAGGAUCCGAGCGUUAUCCGGAUUUAUUGGGUUUAAAGGGAGCGUAGAUGGAUGUUUAAGUCAGUUGUGAAAGUUUGCGGCUCAACCGUAAAGUUGCAGUUGAUACUGGAUAUCUUGAGUGCAGUUGAGGCAGGCGGAAUUCGUGGUGUAGCGGUGAAAUGCUUAGAUAUCACGAAGAACUCCGAUUGCGAAGGCAGCCUGCUAAGCUGCAACUGACAUUGAGGCUCGAAAGUGCGGGUAUCAAACAGGAUUAGAUACCCUGGUAGUCCACACGGUAAACGAUGAAUACUCGCUGUUUGCGAUAUACGGCAAGCGGCCAAGAGAAAGCGUUAAGUAUUCCACGUGGGGAGUACGCCGGCAACGGUGAAACUCAAAGGAAUUGACGGGGGCCCGCACAAGCGGAGGAACAUGUGGUUUAAUUGGAUGAUACGCGAGGAUCCUUACCUGGGCUUAAAUUGCAGAUGAAUUACGGUGAAAGCCGUAAGCCGCAAGGCAUCUGUGAAGGUGCUGCAUGGUUGUCGUCAGCUCGUACCGUGAGGUGUCGGCUUAAGUGCCAUAACGAGCGCAACCCUUGUUGUCAGUUACUAACAGGAUUUUCUGAGGAGUCUGACAAGAAUACCAUGGUAAGAUGUGAGGAAGGUGGGGAUGACGUCAAAUCAGCACGGCCAUUACGUCCGGGGCUACACACGUGUUACAAUGGGGGGUACAGAGGGCCGCUACCACGCGAGUGGGUGCCAAUCCCAAAAACCUCUCUCAGUUGGGUCUGGAGUCUGCAACCAGACUCCACGAAGCUGGAUUCGUUAGUAAUCGCGCAUCAGCCACGGCGCGGUGAAUACGUUCCCUGGGCCUUGUACACACCGCCCGUCAAACCAUGGGAGCCGGGGGUACCUGAAGUGCGUAACCGCGAGGAGCGCCCUAGGGUAAAACUGGUGACU